UUUAGAGGAACCUUAUUUGGUCAAACAGGUAGAGCAUGGCCCAAGGCCUUGGGCAUGCAAAAAACACUCCAAUUAGGUAGAUUAUUCUAAGGUGUCAGAGGUUAUCUCCCAGCAGUUAGCCAAGGGCCAGCCCUGAAGACAGCUCUGGUUUUGGAAUGUGCGGAGUUUGAACCAUGAGUUCUGCUGAGUUAACUCUUUUCUGCUCCCAUAGCUCAAGUCCUGAGCACCCAGCUGCUAUGGUAAUUAGCACUGUACCCUGCUGGGAGAGAUGCAAAAUGAAGCCCUCUACUAUCCUCUGGGCUAGAAAUGCAACCCCUCCUCAUCCCCUUGGCCCAGGGAAGCCAUAAAGAAGCUUGCCUGGGUUUGAUUGGGAAUUGGUGAGUUGGAGUUCUUGUGAAAAGAUCCAUUUGGUUAGAAAAAAACAACCUGCUCUCAAUUCUUUCUUUGGAACUAAGCAAAAUAUUAAUCUUGAACUAGACUACCUUAGAUCCUCUGCAAGGCUAAGUAGGAUUUGACCCUACUGAACGAAGCAUGUACUCUAGGUUGGCAAUACCCCAUCUGUCUCAUAACCAGAAUAUUUGGGUUCGGGACACAAACGUUUGGGUGGGGCUGAGAAUGAUGCCACUCUUAAUGACCCCCUAAGGCCCACCCUCGAUAUUUCAGGUUAGACAAGGCCAGACCAAGAAAAAUAGUGUGUGUCAUUUUAAGGACGUUGGAUUUAUCCUGGAGUUAGUGAGAAGUUAUUGGAGGAAUUUACAUGGGCCACAGCAGACUAAGGUUUAUAUUUUUAAAAUAUUGCUCUGAACACAAUGAGGAUGGAGGGAGACAGGAGUGGAUACCAAUUUAGGAGGUUGCUGCAUUAAUUAAGGCCAACACUGAGCACUGAACAAAGACAGUAACCGUAGGAGUGGAGAGGAGUUUGGAGGAGAGAUAUUCAGAGAGUAAAACUGAUGUGCAGGAAAGCAUCUAGCAUAAUGGCCACAUUCUGUGUUAGAUGAGAGAAAGACAGAGAAUGCUUUAGUCUCGGGUUUCCAGGAGGGAAUACACAGGAAGGUGUAACAUCUGCAUGGUGGACAACACAUAGGAGGGAUUAAUGACAUCUUUAUUGAUUGUUGGAAGAGGAAUUUUAGGAAAAUUAUUCUGAAAGCAGUUAAGUCCCAGGCCCCAGAGAGAGGUGAAAUCAAAACUUGAGAGCCCCUGAUUCGGGUGUGACAGAAAGAAAAGGCAUAAGCACUACUGAACUUUCAAAAGAAAGAUCCAUAAGUUCUGAUGAUUGAUUAGUAGAAUACAAUGUAUAAGGGGGGUGGGGGGCAGUGAGGAUGAGUCACACUUCCAACUUUUAAUUCC
rnacentral:lncRNA from 12 species